UACGUAGGGUGCAAGCGUUGUCCGGAAUUAUUGGGCGUAAAGAGCUCGUAGGCGGUCUGUCGCGUCUGCUGUGAAAACUCAGGGCUUAACCCUGAGCUUGCAGUGGGUACGGGCAGACUAGAGUGCGGUAGGGGAGACUGGAAUUCCUGGUGUAGCGGUGAAAUGCGCAGAUAUCAGGAGGAGCACCGGUGGCGGAGGCGGGUCUCUGGGCCGUAACUGACGCUGAGGAGCGAAAGCAUGGGGAGCGAACAGG
rnacentral:rRNA from 1 species